ensembl:ncRNA H06I04.11 ncRNA
CUGCGUCUCUCCCCUUCCACACUAUCUUGCCUCAUCUACUUUGGGCGCUUGUAUCUCCGCGUGGAAAAGAGCAAUCAAAAAGUUGUUAACUAACAAAAUGUAGACCUUAAAAUUUCCUAUAUUUUGUGAGUU